AGCUUGCGGGCCUUUCAAACAUGGAGGAGCGGGAGAGGGGGGCGAGGUCGGCUCGUGCCGGCAGCCCUGCGCGCCCGCCCAGCCCGCGGCUGGAUGUCAGCUCUGACAGCUUCGACCCACUGCUGGCCCUGUACGCGCCUCGCCUGCCUCCCAUCCCCUACCCCAACGCGCCCUGCUUCAACAACCUGGCCGAGUACGAGAGCUUCCUCAGGACCGGGUGCCGGGGCGGCGGGCGCGGACGGGCGCGGGGCGCGGCCGCGGGCUCUGGGGACCCCGCCACCGCCGCCGCCGGGCCCUUGGGCAGGACCCGCCGCCGCCCGGACAUCCCCACCCCGGACCCCGAGCGCAUCCAGCGCCUCCGCCGCCUUAUGGUGGCCAAGGAGGAAGGGGACGGGGCCGCCGGGGCGCGGCGGCGGGGUCCGGGUCGGAGCAGGAAGGCGCCGCGCAACGUGCUCACGAGAAUGCCCUUGCACGAAGGCAGCCCUCUGGGUGAACUCCAUCGUUGUAUCCGGGAGGGGGUGAAGGUGAAUGUUCACAUCCGCACUUUCAAGGGACUUCGGGGCGUCUGUACGGGCUUCCUUGUUGCAUUUGACAAGUUCUGGAAUAUGGCACUUACUGAUGUGGAUGAGACCUACCGAAAACCUGUUCUAGGCAAAGCAUAUGAACGGGAUUCUUCAUUGACUCUCACUAGGCUCUUUGAUCGACUAAAACUGCAGGAUUCCUCCAAGAAGGAAACAGAUUCCAAGUCUGCAGUUGAAGACUCCACUCUGUCCAGAUACUCCCAGACAUCCACCUGGAAGGUGGCUUCAGUGUGGGGACGAGGAGACACUGACCGGGGUUCACGCAAGCGUUCCCGCUCCGUCCCUUCUUCCCUGCAGGCAUCGGCAAGGGAGGAGUCCAGCCAUGAAAUGAGAAAAAAAAUCAAAGUAAAAAGAAUAAAGCCUAAGGUUGUAUUGGGCUUUUUCCUUGAAAAGACCAAGGGGAGAAAAUGGAACCUGAUUAAGGGCCGCAUAUCAAGACAGGAGCAGUUACCCGUGGCCUGAGGACAACUGGGGACCCCUGAGACCCAUUCAGGGGACCUGCGAGGUUCCACCUUUUCCAACCACAUAUUUCUGAGGCCGGACUUUUUUCAUGUAUUUCCACCAGAACAACAUGGCACAGCAGAUCGAAUGCAGAAGCAGUUUUUAUAUGAGAUUGCUUCUCUGGAUAUUAGAAUAACAAGAUCUUAGUCAAGAAAAUUGCAAGAAGUCAAUAGAAAAAUUGAGAUCUCUACUGCUUCUAAAAGCUGAGAACAUUCUGAGGGUUAUUUGUGUGGCAAGUCAAGAGCUCACUUUCAUAGUUCUCUCCCUCACAUCUGCACUAAUGUGGUAAGUAUAAGUGACUCAAUACAUUCACAAAGCAGUUCAUUUACAAUUUGCUUGUCGGUUAAAAAAAGAAAGUAGAAUUAAAUACAGACAGGAAAAUCCUCAAUUAGAAAUCAGCUUAGUAACAGUCUCUCAGGCUUUCUUUUAUUUUUAAACUUUUUUUUUUUUAAUUUAUUUUUGGCU